rnacentral:rRNA from 1 species
AAAGAAAAUAACAAUGAUUCCCUCAGUAACGGCGAGCGAAGAGGGAUAAGCUCAAAUUUUAAAUCUGUUGGGUUCCACUUAACAGAGUUGUAUUUUGAAGAAGCGUUUUCUGCAUCCAGGAUUAGCCUAAAUCCUUUGGGAUAAGGUAUCAUGGAGGGUGAGAAUCCCGUUCAUGGUUAAUCUUAAGGAAGCUCUACGAUACGUUUUCCAAGAGUCGAGUUGUUUGGGAUUGCAGCUCAAAAUGGGAGGUAAAUUUCUCCUAAGGCUAAAUAUUGGCGAGAGACCGAUAGCGAACAAGUACCGUGAGGGAAAGAUGAAAAGAACUUUGAAAAGAGAGUUAAACAGUACGUGAAAUUGUUGAAAGGGAAACGAUUGAAG